rnacentral:rRNA from 1 species
GACGAACGCUGGCGGCGUGCCUAAUACAUGCAAGUCGAGCGGAUGACGGAGGAGCUUGCUCCUCCUGAUUCAGCGGCGGACGGGUGAGUAACACGUGGGCAACCUGCCCUGUAGAUUGGGAUAACUCCGGGAAACCGGGGCUAAUACCGAAUAAUCCUUCGGACCUCAUGGUCCGAUGUCGAAAGACGGUUUCGGCUGUCACUACAGGAUGGGCCCGCGGCGAAUUAGCUAGUUGGUGAGGGAACGGCUCACCAAGGCCACGAUGCGUAGCCGACCUGAGAGGGUGACCGGCCACACUGGGACUGAGACACGGCCCAGACUCCUACGGGAGGCAGCAGUAGGGAAUCUUCCACAAUGGACGAAAGUCUGAUGGAGCAACGCCGCGUGAGUGAAGAAGGUUCUCGGAUCGUAAAACUCUGUUGUGAGGGAAGAACAAGUACCGGAGUAACUGCCGGUGCCUUGACGGUACCUCAUUAGAAAGCCACGGCUAACUACGUGCCAGCAGCCGCGGUAA